AUCCAACUGACGAGUCCCAAAUAGGGCGGAACGUGCAUCCUGGAU
rnacentral:hammerhead_ribozyme from 1 species